rnacentral:rRNA from 1 species
UACGUAGGGGGCAAGCGUUGUCCGGAAUCAUUGGGCGUAAAGCGCGUGUAGGCGGCCCGGUAAGUCCGCUGUGAAAGUCGGGGGCUCAACCCUCGGAUGCCGGUGGAUACUGUCGGGCUAGAGUGCGGGAGAGGCGAGUGGAAUUCCUGGUGUAGCGGUGAAAUGCGCAGAUAUCAGGAGGAACACCAAUGGCGAAGGCAGAUCGUCUGGGCCGUAACUGACGCUGGAGGAGCGAAAGCAUGGGGAGCGAACAGG